UCUUACCACGUGUACUUUCUUUUAAUGCUCUCUCCUCAUUGCUCCCUGCAGGCCGGAACCUAAUGCGUAUACUGUAUUUAUUUCAUUUUCACAGAUUGACCUCCUUUAGUUUACUAUGUGUGUGUGUUUGUGUGGGAGUGCAGGGGUGAUGCAAAGUCAUAAGGGAGACAGUUUGUCAGGGUAAUAAGGGUGGGCGUUUGCACAACAGACGGGAGUAAUGGCCUCGACCAGGAGGAGCAUGGCGGCGCCUGCUAAGGUGAGUCUGUCCACCGCCGUGGUGCCCGGCUUUGUUUGGUCACCAGAUUCCCCUUGCUGAUAGGCCCCCUGCCAGGAAACCACGGGUUCAAAUGUACAUCCCAGCGGACAUUUUAUUAGUGAUAUUGGAUGGUCAUGCAUGAGAAUGAUUACUUCCACCAAGGAGCAGCACCUUCCUGAAGCCGUGCACCUGUCACCAAUCAGCCCUGGUCAUCACCUGCAUAUAAGCCUGCCUGAUCCCGGAAAUCCUCGCCAAAGUAUUGCAGCUUUUCCAAGCGUGUUUGCCCCGUGUUCCUGAUCUACAUAAUUCCUGCCACCCCGCUGCCAAGCCAGCCGCCUGUCCUCGCCACUGCCUGCCAACGCACCUAGGACAACCUCCAUUACCUUCCCUAAUAAACUGUUCAUCAUAACCUAUCUGCCUCCGCCUGCUCUUGGCUCCAGCUCCUCUCCACUCGUGACAGUAUACAUUAAUAUAUUAGUUUUUAUGCUCAUAGACACAGUCUUUAAGAUAAAUAUAUUCCCUAUUGUGGUCACAUUUGUGUGAAUUCAGAAGUUGUGAACAUAUGGCUAGUAAAUGUGACAAGGUAAAUGCACUUACCAUGUUACUAUUAACUAUGAACUAUGUACCAUGUACUACUGUAUCUACCAUCUAUGUGAUGGUGCCCAACAUGUGAUCAAUACACAGCAGAAUAGCAAUGAAUUAUAGAUUACCAUGGAAAUUGUUUAUUGACACAAUGAUUGACCGGUUGCGCCCCACUGUCUGUGUUUGUGCUUUAUAUAAUAC